rnacentral:rRNA from 1 species
GACGAACGCUGGCUGCGUGCCUAAUACAUGCAAGUCGAGCGGAAGUUUGACAGCUUGCUCUUCAACUUUAGCGGCGGCCGCGAGAGUAACACGUGGGCAACCUGCCCGGCAGAUCGGGAUAACUCGCGGAAACCCGUGCUAAUACCUACUCGUUUUCGCCACCUCCUGUUGGCGUACGGAAAGACGGUUUCGCCUGUCACUGUAGGAAGGGCCCGCGGCGCAUUAGCUAGUUGGUGGGGUAACGGCCCACCAAGGCGACGAUGCGUAGCCGACCUGAGAGGGUGAUCGGCCACACUGGGACUGAGACACGGCCCAGACUCCUACGGGAGGCAGCAGUAGGGAAUCUUCCGCAAUGGACGAAAGUCUGACGGAGCAACGCCGCGUGAGUGACGAAGGUUUUCGGAUCGUAAAACUCUGUUGUGAGGGAAGAACAAGUACCAACUAACUACUGGUACCUUGACGGUACCUCACCAGAAAGCCACGGCUAACUACGUGCCAGCCGCCGCCGUAA